rnacentral:lncRNA from 1 species
GCUCACAGGUUCACUCCUUUGUCCUUGACCAGCAUCUUUAAAUUCUUCACUCACUUGAGAUUCAUUAAUUACAUCACAGAUAUUCUCAAGUGGUGGGCAAGUUUUACACACAAGUUGAUCAACACAAUUUUCACAUAACGAUGUACUUUCAUUCAACUCAAUAGCUUCAACACUAGGUGGACACAAAUCGAUCUUACUAGAAGAGUCGAUUCGGUCAUUUAUAGGAUCAACUAGUGUAUCCACUCG